GGAUGGGUGACUGAGUGGUCUAAAGUGUCAAUUUUGAAAAUUGUUGUAUUCUAAAAAUACCGGGGGUUCGAAUCCCUCCCCAUCCG
rnacentral:tRNA from 1 species